rnacentral:rRNA from 1 species
UACAGAGGUCCCAAGCGUUGUUCGGAUUCAUUGGGCGUAAAGGGUGCGUAGGCGGCGCGGUAAGUCGGGUGUGAAAUCUCGGAGCUUAACUCCGAAACUGCAUUCGAUACUGCCGUGCUUGAGGACUGGAGAGGAGACUGGAAUUUACGGUGUAGCGGUGAAUGCGUAGAUAUCGUAAGGAAGACCAGUGGCGAAGGCGGGGUCUCUGGACAGUUCCUGACACUGAGACACGAAGGCCAGGGGAGCAAACGGG